UUUAUUUGAAGUAGAGAUUGUGCUGCUACGCACCCGCCGGGUCAAAAGAAAUGCAGGAAGGGGCACCCCUGCCAAAUAAA
rnacentral:ncRNA from 1 species